rnacentral:rRNA from 1 species
GACGAACGCUGGCGGCGUGCUUAACACACGCAAGUCGAACGGAAAGGCCCUGCUUUUGUGGGGUGCUCGAUUGGCGAACGGGUGAGUAAAACGUGAGUAACAUGCCCUUGACUUUGGGGUAACUUCAGGAAAAUGGGGCUAAUACCGGAUAGGAGCUCCUGAUGCGUGGGGGGGGUUGGUAAGUUUCGGCGGUUGGGGAUGGACUCGCGGCUUAUCCGCUUGUUUGUGGGGUAGUGGCUGUCCAGGGCUAUGACGGGUAGCCGGCCUUGGAGGGUGACCGGCCUCAUUGGGCCUGAGAUACGGCCCAGACUCCUACGGGACGCAGCAGUGGGGAAUAUGGCACAGUGGGCGGACGCCUGAUGCAGCAACGCCGCGUGCGGGAUGACGGCCUUCGGGUUGUAAACCGCUUUCGCCUGUGACGAAGCGUGAGUGACGGUAAUGGGUAAAGAAGCACCGGCUAACUACGUG